AUACGGAGGGUGCAAGCGUUACUCGGAAUCACUGGGCGUAAAGCGCGCGCAGGCGGGCUGAUAAGUUGGAUGUGAAAGCCUACGGCUCAACCGUAGAACUGCAUCCAAAACUGUCAGUCUAGUGUGUGGGAGAGGAAGAUGGAAUUAGUUGUGUAGGGGUAAAAUCCGUAGAGAUAACUAGGAAUACCAAAAGCGAAGGCCAUCUUCUGGAACACUACUGACGCUGAGGCGCGAAGGCGUGGGGAGCAAACAGAAGUAGAAACCCGGGUAGUCC
rnacentral:rRNA from 1 species